CAAAAACCGAGGAGAAUCCGAGACCCUCCUGUCUCACACAGGCCACUGGGGACUCCCGCCCUGCCCACCCCCAGGGGCUGCCUGGCCUUCUGGCCACAUCCUGGUCCAGAGGGCCUGGUGGCACCUGGGCAGAGCAGCAGGUGGGCUCAGCCUGCCCUGUGACUCCUCCCCAAAGGCGACUCGGACGACGCGGCCCCCUCGGGCUCUGGCGCGCUCUCCUCCACCCCGCCGUCCACAUCUCCUGCGGCCAAGGAGGCCUCACCCACCCCGCCCUCCUCCCCGUCGGUGAGCGGAGGCCUGUCCUCCCCCAGGUCAGCAGGCUGCCCAGCAGCGGCGAGGCUGCGGCCACGCCCACCAUGUCCAUGACCGUGGUCACCAAGGAGAAGAACAAGAAGGUGAUGUUUCUGCCCAAGAAAGCGAAGGACAAGGACGUGGAGUCUAAGAGCCAGUGCAUUGAGGGCAUCAGCCGGCUCAUCUGCACUGCCAGGCAGCAGCAGAACAUGCUGCGGGUCCUCAUCGACGGUGUGGAGUGCAGCGACGUCAAGUUCUUCCAGCUGGCCGCGCAGUGGUCCUCGCACGUGAAGCACUUCCCCAUCUGCAUCUUCGGACACUCCAAGGCCACCUUCUAGCCCCACCCACCAAGGGGCCCACCUCCUGCCCCAUGCUGUGAGGGGCCCAGCUGCAUUUUUGUUAACAUUUC
rnacentral:sRNA from 1 species